UACAGAGGUCUCAAGCGUUGUUCGGAUUCAUUGGGCGUAAAGGGUGUGUAGGUGGCGCGCUAAGUCGGGUGUGAAAUUUCGGAGCUUAACUCCGAAACUGCAUUCGAUACUGGCGUGCUUGAGGACUGGAGAGGAGACUGGAAUUUACGGUGUAGCAGUGAAAUGCGUAGAUAUCGUAAGGAAGACCAGUGGCGAAGGCGGGUCUCUGGACAGUUCCUGACACUGAGACACGAAGGCCAGGGGAGCAAACGGGA
rnacentral:rRNA from 1 species